rnacentral:misc_RNA from 1 species
CACCACUCAAGCCUCGCUUGGUCUUGGGCGCCGCGGUUCUGCCGCGCGCCCCAAUGUCUCCGGCUGAGCCGUCCGUCUCUAAGCGUUGUGAUACACUGUUCGCUUGCGAGGCUGGGCCGGCUUGUUCGCCGUUAAACCCCCCAUUUUUUCA